UGGAUCAUUGAUGACCAAAAAAAAAUCAUCUGGGAGUCUUCUGAGACAUCCAUGAUGACCACAACAUUGGGAGUCUGAGGUCCAC
rnacentral:snoRNA from 14 species